rnacentral:rRNA from 1 species
GACGAACGCUGGCGGCGUGCUUAACACAUGCAAGUCGAACGGAAAGGCCCUGCUUUUGUGGGGUGCUCGAGUGGCGAACGGGUGAGUAACACGUGAGUAACCUGCCCUUGACUUUGGGAUAACUUCAGGAAACUGGGGCUAAUACCGGAUAGGAGCUCCUGUUGCAUGGUGGGGGUUGGAAAGUUUCGGCGGUUGGGGAUGGAUUCGCGGCUUAUCAGCUUGUUGGUGGGGUAGUGGAUUACCAAGGCUUUGACGGGUAGCCGGCCUGAGAGGGUGACCGGCCACAUUGGGACUGAGAUACGGCCCAGACUCCUACGGGAGGCAGCAGUGGGGAAUAUUGCACAAUGGGCGGAAGCCUGAUGCAGCAACGCCGCGUGCGGGAUGACGGCCUUCGGGUUGUAAACCGCUUUCGCCUGUGACGAAGCGUGAGUGACGGUAAUGGGUAAAGAAGCACCGGCUAACUACGUG